rnacentral:rRNA from 1 species
GUGAACGCUGGCGGUAGGCCUAACACAUGCAAGUCGAACGGCAGCACAGUAAGAGCUUGCUCUUACGGGUGGCGAGUGGCGGACGGGUGAGGAAUACAUCGGAAUCUACUUUUUCGUGGGGGAUAACGUAGGGAAACUUACGCUAAUACCGCAUACGACCUACGGGUGAAAGCAGGGGAUCUUCGGACCUUGCGCGAUUGAAUGAGCCGAUGUCGGAUUAGCUAGUUGGCGGGGUAAAGGCCCGCCAAGGCGACGAUCCGUAGCUGGUCUGAGAGGAUGAUCAGCCACACUGGAACUGAGACACGGUCCAGACUCCUACGGGAGGCAGCAGUGGGGAAUAUUGGACAAUGGGCGCAAGCCUGAUCCAGCCAUACCGCGUGGGUGAAGAAGGCCUUCGGGUUGUAAAGCCCUUUUGUUGGGAAAGAAAAGCAGCAGGUUAAUACCCCGCUGUUCUGACGGUACCCAAAGAAUAAGCACCGGCUAACUUCGUG